rnacentral:sRNA from 15 species
GCCUCUCUUGAGUUAUAAAUGGUGUAACUUACUACAAAAUAUGAUUUUUUUAACCUUGCUUGUAUCGUAUUCUUAUUGUUUAUUCUCCCAUGAAUUUAAUAUGUAUGUAUAAACACUGGAAAUUUAUUGGAAUGUCAUGAAAUAUCAUGGAAAAACUACCACUAGUUAA